GCAGGAAUCCUGGAAUGGUCUGGAUUGAAAAGGACCUUAAAGACCAUCUUGUUCCAAGCCCUUGCCAUGGGCAGGGACAUGCUCCACUAUCCCAGGUUGCUCCAAGCCCAUCUAACCUGGCCUUGAACAGUUCCAGGGAUGGGGCAGCCACAGCUUCUCUGGGCAACCUGUGCCAGGGCCUCCCCACCCUCACAGUCACCGAAGAUGAGUGCACUGGCACUGAGCCACAUGAGGCUACACAAGUAGCCAAGACAGUUUCUAAAAGCAGUGCCAGUGUCUUAAGAGCUGCCUGCUCCAGGCCUGGCCUCUGCAGCCUUGUGCUCAAGAUGCCUCUGCCUUGUGCUGUAUGUGCCAGGGGGAAUCCUUCCUCCCAUGAUCUUCCAGACUGGAUGCUCAGCUCCACAAGUACCACUAGCCACAAUUAUAUCCUGGAGCAAGGGACAGCAAUUGAUAUUUUAUCAUUGGGAUUUUUUGCUGUGACUUUUGUGCCCACCUGGAGUGAACAAACUAUUACAAGUUUCAUCCAAUUACGUUAAGUGCAGAUGGACACAGGGUGCUGAGCACAGCCUCUGUUCAGUGGGAGCGAGGGGCAGGCCCUUAUCAGCUCGAGGCACCAUCAUUCAUUAAGACAUCAUUUGCCUCUCACCAGUAGAGCCAAAGCACGAAUCUGUAGGAUGUCAUAAUGAGGUGUGCUAAUGAAAGAUAAGCAGAGCAGGAUUAACAAAAGGAUCCUCUCCACAUUAUACCUGCCUCUUACUGCUUUGCUCAGUCCCCAUCUUUUAUGAUCUCCUGAGGGAACAUUUCAAAGGGGUGCUAGAAUUGAGGCCCACAGAUCCAAUUAAUUGCUGAUGUGGGUUGUGCCCAGAAUCACCAGGCACUGCUUACAGAAAUGCCGGAGUGCAGCAGAGUAGAAAAAGGAAAAUAUUGGGCAUCCAGUGCUGUAAUUAACCCUCCCAUCCAUCCCUGCUUGUUGUUCUUGCCCUGGGCUAGGAAAAUCUUUGAUAACUAGUUUAGCUCCUUUGCUCUCAUGAUCUGGUUUGACCACCUCUGCCCUUCCAAACAGACCAAUUAGGAUCUUUUUUUUUACUGGAAUUACUUGGUCGAUGUGCCAGAGGCUAAGUGGGAAAAAGAACCCACUUCCUUCCCACGGUCACAGGUGCUUGGGCUCAGGCAUGUGGGACUCACUGGCUGCUUAAAGGGUCAUCCUUCCUGCAACAAGUGCUGGAGAAGUGAUGGCACAUGCCCUCCAUUCUCUCUUCCCUGUGCUCCAACCCCAUGUUGGCCAUCGUGAGCAUGUCUGGGGAGGAAAGCCAGAGUUAAAGGUUGUCUUGACCUAAUGGAGGUGCCACAGGGAUUCAACAAAUUGUCUUCAUGACACAACACUUCUUGGGCUGGUUGUCUGAGAGCUGAACCUUACAUUUUGCCCACCUACACAGCAGACCUUUCAUGACCUUUGAAAGUGCCUGAGUAUGAACAGCUCAAAUAUUUUCUAAGUAAAAAGAGAAACUGCUUCAGAGCUGAUCAGUUUUGCAAUGCAUAUACAACUACAGAUCUCUGCAGGGGAGGAGAGAAGGACACGCUUUUACCAAUAGAGUUCUACACAUGUGCAUGUAUCCCAGUACAGAAUUCCAGUGAAUAGACUAUGGAUAUGACACAGACACAGUGAGACUGGCAUGGAGAUACUUCUGUCAGCAUCACACUGUUCACACAUGGGGGUAACUCUGAAACCCAGUGCACAGAACUGGGCAGGACUUGACAAGUGCCACCUAUAAAGUCUCCCUGAAGCACCAGAGAAACCCAAUGAUGGCAGUUUCUAGGACCAGGCUUCAGAAGUCCCAUUACUCAUAUAGGAGCAGAGAGUUAGGGCACUAACACUGAUUUUGUGUUUCUGCCAACAUAACAUAUAAUUCUGUCUAUAAUAAAGCUCUCAUUUGUAUAGAAAUGUCAUAAAAAUUCACAUCUUAAAUCACUUUGCUGCGACCUGACCACAGUCUGUCCCAUAAGUUACUUGUAGGAGAUGAUGGCCAAAGCCCAUGGUCCUUGUGGUGCAUAGUACAAGGCACUGGAGAAGAGCUGAGUGGUUGCCUCCUUGUGUUUUUAAAUCCAGCUCCAAAUCUCCUGUGGGAGGGAAAAUCUCCAUUGCUGUACUGCUGUCAGCAUGGGCACACCUGGACCAGGUGUACACACGUGGCAGGUCCUGCUGGCUGUGCUCCUACCCCGGCCCUGGCCAGCGUGGCAGCAGUGGGGAGAUGGGAAGCACCCACUCCCUUUGCUAACAGGGAGCAGCCAGUGUGGCCACGUGCUGGGACAUGCGCGCACCAUAAUAACAUUAACUUAUAACUUUUGCAAGUUAUUGGUGAGGCAGUUGUCUUCCCUGCCUUGUGUGUGUAUAGUACAUAAAUACAAACAUUGUUUAACCUAUUCCAUGCAAUAUCUGCUUCCCAGAGAGCAGCCACUACCUCUGGCACUGGAGACCCCAAAUGCAGCUGAGAAUCAACUAGUCUAAUAACUAACACAAUCCUACACAGUCCAUCCCUGGAGAGAGUGAACCAGGCACCUGAAUGCAUGGGGGAAUCUUACUUCUAUCUUCUGCUUUUAUCCAAUUGUCUGGCUUUUUACCACCUAUAAUGUGUUUUUCUUCCCAGCAUACCUAGAAGAAGCACUACACCCAAUUGCCCAAAAGAGAAUUGCUGUGGAGAGAGAUGAAGUGACGUGACUAAGGUCAUGCAAGGGCUGUGUUGGAGAAAGGAGCUGAGUCUGGGGUGCUCCCAGCAGUGGCUGAGGACAGUGUAGGCUCUGGAUGUAACUGGUGGCAAUUGAAGGAAAAGGAUUUCACAGCUGAAAAGGGACCCGCUGUAAGUCCUGCCCUACCUCUGAAGCCAGUGAGACCAGCAGGUCAGCAGAAGACAUAUUCCAAUGUUUUCCCUUCCCAGGGCAUGUGCACUGCUUACUGGGAAAGGCCUGGCAUGCUCACAGCUGAACCAGAUGUGCAGCCUGUUCCUUCAUUUGACUUUUUGAUUCCAACUCUCAUCUUGAUACAUCAGUCCAACCCUGCAAAAUUGACUUUUCUUUUUACGACUCCCAGGAAUAACAUUUUCCAGUGAUCUUUCCAUUUCUAGAGUGGGUGAGAUUGUCCUGGUCAGUGUCUCUGUUGUGGUCUCUAAAUGAAUUAGGGAGGUGACAUAGGACUGCAGCACAGUGGCAUGGCCAGAGCGCUGCCACCAGCACAGCAACAACCAGAAACUGUAAGGGUGUUCCCCAGAGGGCACCUCAGGGUCUGUGAACCAAGGCAGAUGCAUAAGUACGUGUUCCCAUAAGAAACUCUUCUAGAAAAUCUGAAACUGAGCUUGAGCCAAAAGUGCAGGAGAUGAUCAUAGAAUCCCAGGUUGAUUUGGGCUCUAAAAGACCCUAAAGACCAUCUAGUUUCACCCCUCCUGCCAUGGGCAGAGACACCUGCCACUACACCAGGUUACUCAAACACUUGUUCUUGCUUCAAAGAACCUUAGAAGAAAGUCUCUUUGGCCAAAAUCUGGCUGCAUUCCAGUAAACCUGACUGCUGUCUCCAUCCUGGAGAGGACUUCAUUCCAUGGGAUUUCUCAGUCCAGCCUCUCUGUGCCUCAGAAGCAUUUGUUUGUGCUGGAGUUGGAAAAUGUGUAUCAUUGUAGUUGCCUUUUUUUUUCCAGUGCAGAGUAAUUAAUCGAUGCUUCUCGUGGAGGGCAGUCAAUUCUCAUUACACUGGGCUUUCGCAAAGCUGGUUUGUUUGGGUUUUUCCACAGAAGUGGAUUAUCCAAGAGAUACUUUGUGCUCAGGCUGAGGUCUCUGCUUCACACUCGCUCGCUCUGGGCUGUGAGAGUGCGAAGGCAGCACGGCAGGUUUCACAUUGCAGGAGGCAGCCACAGCUUCAGAACUCUCUGCUGGUGUAAAAUGAAUGGAGGUUUUCCUGCAAAUUUUUCCAUGCAGCUCUGUGCCAUCUGCUGUGAGCUCGUGAGACAGUGCCAAGGGCUGAGGAAGGAGCACAGCAGAGUGGAGGUUGUAAGGCACCAGCCUUUUGCUUAUGCAAGAUCACAGAAUCCUAGACUGGUUUAGGUUGGAAGGGACCUUAAAGACCAUUUAGUUCUACCCCCUGCCAAGAGCAGGGACACAAACACUAGACCAGGUUGCUCCAAGGCCUCAACAGUUCCAGGGAUGAGGCAGCCACAGCUUCUCUGGGCAGCCUGUGCCAGAGCCUCAUGAAACUCAUCAUAAAACACUUCCUCCUAAUAGCUAAUCUAAAUUGAUCCUCUGUUAGUCUCAAACCAUUCCCCCUUGUCCUAUCACAACAGGCACUGCUAAAAUGUUUGUCCCUAUCGUUCUCAUACCUUAAGUAUUGAAAGCCACAAUAAGGUUUCCCUGGACCCUUCUCUUCUCCAGUUUGAGCAAUCCCAAUUUCCAUGACCCUGUGCCAGCUGUGGAGUUAGGAUGGCACCUGCAUCCCAGCAGUGGGUUUCCAAGGAUCAGCAUCCUGGCAGCACUCCCCGCUCCAGUGCACUGGCACAGAACACAAAAGCUGUUAACAGAAUGCAAGAAGACUUAAAGCGAGGAUGCUGUUAGUGCCAUGGUCUCUGCUACCCCUGCAUUGCUCACACCCAAUCAAAGUCCCAGGAAUUGUGAUUGCAAAGCAGAUUUUUGGGUGCCAUUCACAAAAACAAACAAAAAAAAAAUUGAUAAAAGUUAAAACUUCAAAUAAAAGCUGCCUGGCAUUGCACGAUAA